rnacentral:lncRNA from 1 species
AAAAGCUAUUACAUCAAAUGAGUGGCUUUGUGGGCAUACUUCCAACAAGUGGGAGAUUGUUGGAAAUGUGCCCUAAAACCAAUCAUAUGAUGAUACUUUACGGACAUUUCACAUGUUAAACUAAUCUAGUUUAAUAUCAAGGGCAAAGAUUAUUGUUUGAGUCGUCUCAUAUAAAUGUUAUAUGCUUAAACGAUAAGUCCAAGGAAUAUGUGAUUGGGAGAAUGCGAUCUAAAGAAGUUAGAUUCAUGAGACCAUUCUUUUGUAGACACAUCCUAAACGUUCCUGAUCAUAGGAUUGCCAAUUGGGCAUUGACAGUCCGUUAAGAUCAGUACGUGUUGUGUCUUCUCUCAGGGAGAGUGACUAGUCUCGAGUCAUUGGUGUGUGUGACAUCAAGGCAAGUACGUAGGUGCUCAAUAGAGAAUGAGUUCACUGAACACGAUCAACGAAGAGUUCUCAUAUUCAUGUCACAUUAGAACUCAUGGUUGGGAUAAUGCAAAGUAGUCCUUUGACCUGAGGCAUCACAGCUGUCUUAUGGUUAAGUCCUUGAUCUUUGAUUAUGUCAAAGUCACCCCAUCCGCGGGUGUCCACGGCAUCGUUGGGGUUAAGUCACUUAGCUAUGGAGGCAAGUGAAUGCGCAACAAGGGAUCUCUAACCUUCAAACCGUUUGGGGGAGAAUACUCUAUGAUAUGAUUUAGAAUCUCUGGCCAGAGUAUGAAUGAGAUUUAGAAAAGUCGUUCCAAAUCACAUUCAAGGUAAUCAUAUAAGCACACGAAUCACAUUGGAUAGUAGACAUGAAUAAACUAUCAAACCAAACAAUGUGGUCAAGAGUAUUGUAUUAGAGAAAGACCGUAUUGCAUUUGUAAUCCUAAACUAAAUAGGUUCUCUACCUCUUCUGAUUAGCUUGGGUAACCAUGAUAUGCUGCUAGGUGUCACUCUUGGUUUGUGGAAGCCCUAAACGUGUAUAAACACUAAAGGGAGAAUUGAAAGUAAGUUUCAAUUCACAAUCGAUUUGAAAGAGUUUUAAUCGUCCACUGCCUCGCUAAAAGGAACCUAAUGGAUCAUACAUCGUGUAAGGUGGAGAUUGAAGAAACAAUGGAGAUGAGUAAGAAUAAUUAAAUGGUUUAAUUAUUUAUGGCAAGGAUUAAUUAAUAUGUUAAUUAAUCAAACGAAUAAGUUCGUUAAAGACCUCGGGAUAGUUUUGGACCUUAAGGCCCAAUGGGCUUCGAACGUCAAGCCCAUUGACUUAAGUUGUAUGACAAUUUAAUGAAUAAAGAUUCACAAAGGCCCAAAAGCCCAAAUCCCUUAUGUGGCCGGCCAUGUGUGUUGAAUUAGGGUUUUUGGUUCUUUAGGUCAUUUAAAGAAGUGACUAUAUAAAGAACCUUAUAGCCUAAAAUUCAAAAAGGGUUCUUUUGGAGAAAAUUGGAGAGAACAUGUCUCUCCUUUUCUCUCUAGGAGGCCAGCCCCCUUGGAGGGUGUAUCUAGCAAUCCCACUACUCCAAGGUCACUCAUUCCUUCUCCAAUCUCUCCUUGGUGUGGAGACUUAGAGGUUCUCAAUUUUGGGAACUUGGAGAAACCUUUUCAUCCAUCCAAAUCCAUAGAUUUAAGAUGCAAGGAAUAAAGGCCCUCUCUUUGGGUGAUUAGCCUUUGCUUAUGCAAAGAGGAAUCUACAAAGGUAUAAAUCUUCACUCACUUGAAGGGAAAAAUUUUGAGAUUCUAGAAUGGGAUUUCAUAAUGACUAUCAUGCAUAUACAAAUCAAAUUUAAUAUACGAAAGCAGCGGAAGCAUUUAUAACAUUUUAUCAAAGCUAUAGUCAUGCAAAUCCCCUUCAAGGUUCAUAGGUUUAUAUAUAAUGCAUCAAAACAAUUUU